GGGGUAGUAGCUCAGUUGGUAGAGCAGCAGCUUUGCAAGUUGUCGGUCAAGGGUUCAAAUCCCUUCUACUCCACCA
rnacentral:tRNA from 1 species